AGCAGAGCCGUGUGCCUGUUUCCCUGCAUUCCUAUGAUGUGACACCUCAAAGGCUCUCAGUCUGCAGACUUGUGCUCACAGAGCAGGCAGUGUGCUCUCCAAAACCUUGCUUUGUUGCCAUUUUUCAGCGCGUGCGCUAUCUCUUCGCUCGCAUUCUUAAGUAACUUUUUAAGUCAUCAGAAAACUUUUCCUUCGAGUCUCGCGCGCGAGCUGUCCAUCACGUUGACGCCGCGGACACGCUUUUGAAGAUGACUCGCUGAUAGAAACUUAUACGCUUUUUGAGCUUUGGCGGGCCAUCAGGUCUUGAGAGAAGAGUUUGGAGAAGACUGGGCUGAGCAUUACGCAACCUGGGAGUGCCGCUCCUUGUUUUGGAACGAAAUUUUCCUUCUGCUUCCAGCAAACUUUUUUUGGAACCCGAAACAUCGUUUCAAAUCCCAAUAUUCAGCUUUGACAGCCAAAGAUCUGUGAUAGAGUGCUUUGUGAUAUGAGGGUUUGUGUGGAGGAACAGGUGGGAAUCGGCCUUCCUAGCAUCUCUGUACCUCCGGAGAAAGCUGCUGUAAUUCUGGGAGUCAGAAUGGAGGCAAGAGAGGUUUCCAGUUCAUUGACAAAAUACAGAAACCAGAAGUUAUCUUACGGUUAUGAGGUGCACGAGAGAAGAAACUCCGAGCCACUGAUCACAGGUUCUCAUUCGCAUCGUCUACAUUCAGCAGAAGAUUGCUGUGACCCUAGAUCGUCUGAACAGAUACGUAUGGAUUAUGGUGCAAGAAGCCCUUUGGACACCAGAUCCAAGAGCUUGGACAGCCUGGACUACGUACACAAAGACUGCUGUUGCAGCACGGUUUCAUGCCGCCGGGUGGAGGGAUUGUGUUGCAGCCAGCCGUGCAGCACAUGUGGGCCAGUGGAAACAGACGGGUGCUGCCAAGAGGCCUCCUUUCAAACUAGAGGCUGGGAAACAGGGUUUCCGAGGAGAACAGAGGGGUUUUCUUCUGCCGCAACGCGGCUCCCUGGAGAGCCGCCAAGCCUGGAUGAGGGGAGGCUCGGCACCAGGAGAAUCAGCUUACCGACGCCGUUUGUGUCGUGCUUCCACUGCACGUGUGCCUACACUACAAGGCUGGAAACAGUAACGCAGGAUCGCGUGGAUUCGAGUUCUGCCCAUUGCCACAACGGUGUCUUCUCAAGCCUGGAAAGGCUCAACAAGAGGUCCAGAGUCAGGUGUUCCAGGAUGCCGUGCCAGGCUUCCACAACCUCAAAGCCUUCCUCGGCUCACCGGCACAGCGAUGGCGAGGCCACGGCUUCCGAUAGCGAGUAUGGUCACAAGAAAGAGCGCUCCACUGCCCUGGUCCGGAGAUACCUGAAAAACAACCAGAAGGUGUUGAAGAAGGUCUGCACUGGCACCAGAGCAAUUAUGAGGACCGGUCACAUAUCCGAUAGAGCAUGGCGGGCUGCUUAUGGAAGAAGAUGUCGUCUGAGCAAGGCCUGUGACUUUGUAGACACGGAAUACAGCAGAGCACUCCGGGCCAUCCAGCUGCAGGUCUCUAGGGCUCUUCUCUCCUGUUUAGGGGUCAGACUGGAGCAGCUCCAGUAUGCCUUUACUGCUCUGAACGCUGAGGUUCACCUCCUGCACCCCUCCAGGAAGUUGCUGGCUCACUCGGUAGCAUGGCUGCCGGCCUGCGUUCAGCACACUGAAUACCGCACCUGCUCCUGUAGGAUUAGCUUAGCAGCCCACCUGAGCGGAGCCCUGCUGGAGGCCACGGCUGCCAUCGCCACCAACACACCAAUGUUCAAAGAGCGUCAGCUGUGUGGCUCCAUGGCCAGCUCCGGCUCACUCUCGUCCGGCGUGACGGGGAUCAGUAAGGAGCUGGUUGACCUGCGGCAGCUGAUCCAGUUCCCGGAGGAGAUCGCCAGCAUCCUGACGGAACAGGAACAGCAACUGUACCGCCGCGUGCUCCCGCUUGACUACCUGUGCUUCCUGACACGUGACCUGGCCAGCCCCGAGUGCCACAAGAGCCACCCACACCUCAAAGCCUCGCUCUCGGCACCAGUCAUGCCUACCCAGAAUUCCCAGCACAACGUAGUAGAGGACCUGGUUACACGCUUCAAUGAGGUCAGUUCGUGGGUGACCUGGCUUAUUCUGACUGCUGGCUCAAUGGAGGAGAAGAGAGAAGUUUUUUCGCACCUUGUUCACAUAGCCAAGUGCUGCUGGAAUAUGGGCAACUACAAUGCAGUGAUGGAGUUCUUGGCAGGUCUUAGAUCUCGCAAAGUUUUAAAGAUGUGGCAGUUCAUGGACCAAGCAGACAUCGAUACCAUGCGAGGCCUGAAGGACGCCAUGGCCCAGCACGAGUCGUCGUCGGAAUACAAGAAGGUGGUGAAUCGCGCCCUCAACAUCCCUGGCUGUAAAGUAGUGCCGUUCUGUGGAGUGUUCCUCAAGGAGCUUAGUGAGGCUCUGGACGGAGCGGCCAGCUUGAUCGGGCUGCGUCCUUCUUUCGACUCUCAAGAGGACUCAAUCGAGUUUGUGUCCGAUUACAACGGGCAGCAGCAUUUCCUUCAGCGAGCCGGAGCAGACGGGCUGCACAGCUCGGACAAGGAGGCCACCGUCAGCAACAUCCUGCAAACCAUCCGGAGCUGCAACCGCAGCCUGGAGGCCGACGAGCCGGAGGACGCCUUCAGAGACAGGAGCAAGCACCAGUUUCUAGUCGGGGAUCUUUCUGAUUCUGAAAGCGAUUUGAGCGAGCAGCCACGAGAGUCGGACCUGCAGAGCCCGGAGGAACCGGAAGGUGCUUUCAGUCACGGCACGGAGGUGGUGCCUUGGUACGUGCUCUCGCUAUCCUCGGACAUGCAUCGCUUCCUGCUGCAGGGUGCCACCGUCAUCCACUACGAGCAGGAGAGCCACCAGACUGCCCGCUGCCUACUGCGCCUGCAGCCGGACAACUGUACCCUGACGUGGAUCAAACCCCCGAGCAGCCGGAGCAGGGGCAUCGUACCCGAUUAUCUCCUUCAGGGCCAGACAGUCAUGUGCAACCUCGCCGAGGGAGUCCUCGACCUAAGUGCUGUCAAGGCUGUGUUCACGGGUCACCCGGGGAUCGAUAUCAACGUAGUGCGCCUGCAGCACAAACUGUGCGGAUUGAAUCCCGAGGAAAACGGAGUCACACUGCUUUACGGGCUGCACACCACCGACAACAGGCUGCUGCACUUCGUGGCACCGCGGCACACAGCAUCCGUGCUGUACGAAGGCCUGCUGGAGCUGAUUUGUGCCAUCAGGAAGAUGAAGAGGUUCCCGGAUCAGAGGUUGCAGUGGCUACGGAGGCAGUAUGUCUGCCUCUACCAGGAGGAUGGUAAAUUUGAAGGACCGACUCUGGCUCAGGCCAUUGAGCUGUUCGGGGGUCGGCGCUGGAACACGGGCUCAGCUAGCAGGAGCACGGAGAAGACCAGCACUCAGAAGAACAGCCCACUGGGCAUCAGCUCCAAUGCCAAGAAGAAGAAAAAAGCCCUCGUGAGGGGGGACAGCGGGGAUGGAACAGACGACGAGAUGAUCUCACGCAAGACCAAAAGCUGUAAGGAAAUUCUGAGCAGGAGAUCUUCGGAUCCAUCGGACAGCAUGGAGCAGGAGGAGAACGACGACUCCAGCCCCUUUGGAACCCCUGGAUCCUCCUUCUCAAGUAGCACCAAAACCCAGUCUCCUGGAACUUCCUCCUAUUCCUCCCCCUCAUGCUCGUCCUCAGUGAAUAGCUCCACCCCCGUCCGGCCGCACUCCUCCCCCGUCCUGCCCUGCACCUCCAAAGGCCAACCCGGACAAUGGAGCAGCAGAAGUUGGCACGGCCGAGGAAAAGGCUGCUUCCGUGGUUUCCAGAACCUCAUGAUCUCAGACAGCAUCAUGAGUUUUGUGGAGUUUGUGGAGCUCUUUAAAUCAUUCAGUAUACGCAGUCGGAAGGAUAUAAAGGAGCUGUUUGACACAUACGCCGUUCCCUGCACUCGCUCCGGCCCGGAUUCGGUGCCUCUCUACACCACGCUCAGAAUCGAUGACAAAAUCACGGGGCUUCAGCCUGACCUGGACCUGCUGACCCGCAACGGCUCAGACCUCGGCCUGUUCAUCCGCACGCGCCAGCAGAUGUCCGAAAACCAGAAGCAGAUUUCCGACGCCAUUGCAGCUGCCAGCAUCGUGACCAACGGCACGGGCGUGGAACACUCCUCACUGGGAGUGCUGGGCCUGGCCAUCCCACAGCUCAAUGACUUCCUGGUGAACUGCCAGCGUGAGCACCUGACCUAUGAUGAGAUCCUGACCAUCAUCCAGAAAUUCGAGCCUUCCUCCAGCAUGCGCCAGAUGGGCUGGAUGUCCUUUGAGGGCUUUGCCAGGUUCCUCAUGGACAAGGACAACUUCGCCUCCAGAAACGAAGAGUCUCAAGUGAACUCGGAUGAGCUGCAGUACCCGCUUUCAUACUACUACAUCGAAUCGUCACACAACACCUACCUCACUGGCCACCAGCUGAAAGGGGAGUCGUCCGUGGAGCUGUACAGUCAGGUGCUGUUGCAGGGAUGCCGGAGCGUGGAGCUGGACUGCUGGGACGGCGAUGACGGCAUGCCAGUUAUUUACCACGGGCACACGCUAACCACCAAAAUCCCCUUCAAGGAUGUGGUGGAAGCCAUCAACCGCUCUGCGUUCGUGAACUCCGAGAUGCCCGUGAUCCUGUCCAUCGAGAACCACUGCUCUCUGCCUCAGCAGCGCAAAAUGGCCGAGAUCUUCAAGAUGGUGUUCGGAGACAAGCUGGUAACCAAGUUUCUGUUUGAGAGUGAUUUCUCGGACGACCCACUGCUCCCUUCACCGUGGCAGCUAAGGGGCAAGAUCUUACUCAAGAACAAGAAACUGAAGGCACAUCAGGCCCCUGUGGACAUUCUGAAGCAGAAGGCCCUCCAGCUAGCGCACAUGCAAGCGCAGGCCAAUAACUGCACGGUUGCCGCCGCUUCUCUUGGCAACAACGAAGAGGAAGAAGAGGAGGAAGAUGAGUAUGAUUACGACUACGAGUCCCUGUCCGACGCUGAUGUCCUCAAUGCUUCCACUGCCUCUUAUAGCCUGGAAGAUAACAUCCUGGAUGACAAACCCGAGGGGAAAUCUUCAACCGAAAAGCUGCAGUACGAGUCCAAUGAUGAGAUGCCCAAGAGGAUAAAGAAAGCAGGGAGUAAAGGAAAGAUGUUUGACAUGGAGCUGGGGGAGGAGUUUUAUCUGCCACAGAACGAGAAAGAAAGCAGGCAGAUUGCACAGGAACUCUCGGACCUCGUCAUCUACUGCCAAGCAAUCAAAUUCCCAGGCCUCUCCACCCUCUCCCCAUCAGGCUCUAGCAGAGGAAAGGAGCGCAAAAGUCGAAAAUCCAUCUUUGGCAACACCCCAGUCCGUGGGAGCCCUGGUGAGCCGGUGACGCUGGUGCGCGGCUCGGGGAAAGCCGGUAUGGACGGCACGAGGGCCAGCUGGGAGGAGCAGACGAUGUCGGCAACAGGUACGCCGCCUUCCCUGAGCGCCAUCAUCCGCACACCCAAGUGCUACCACAUAUCAUCGGUGAACGAGAACGCCGCCAAGCGCCUGUGUCGCCGUUACUCCGCCAAGCUGAUCGGACACACGGAGCGCCAGCUGCUCCGCACCUACCCUGCGGCCACUCGCAUCGACUCCGCCAACCCCAAUCCGCUCUGCUUCUGGCUGCACGGCAUCCAACUCGUUGCACUCAACUACCAGACUGACGAUCUGCCCAUGCAGCUGAACGCUGCUCUGUUCGAGGUGAACGGUCACUGUGGCUUUGUCCUGAAGCCUCCUGUGUUAUGGGAUCGUACCUGCCAUCUGUACCAGCAGUUCAGCCCACUGGAGCGAGACCUGGAGCACAUGAGCCCUACUUCCUACACGAUUACUGUGGUAUCUGGGCAGAAUGUGUGCCCUGGGAACAGCAGCGGCAGCCCCUGCGUGGAGGUGGAGGUACUCGGUUUGCCGGCUGAUGCCUGCCACUUCCGCACCAAACCCAUCCACCGCAACACACUUAACCCCAUGUGGAGCGAGAGCUUCACCUUCCAGGUGCACUUUGAGGACAUGACAUUCCUGCGCCUGGCUGUAGUGGAGAACAACAGCUCGCAGGUCACGGCGCAGAGGAUCCUGCCGCUGAAGGCACUCAAACCCGGAUACAGACACCUGCAGCUGAGGAAUCAGCACAACGAGGCACUGGAGGUCUCCACCCUCUUCAUGUUCAGCCGCAGGACAGAGGAAAGUCCUGAUGGAGCCGUGAGACCGGCCGCUGCGUUGUUUAGCUCGGAGGAGAGGAGAGCGGUGCAGCAGCACAAAGUGACGGUGCACGGAGCUCCGGGACCCGAACCCUUCACCGUCAUCAGAGUGAAGGAACACACCACUGUGAAGCAGUUACUCAACAUGCUGGUUCCCGACGCUGUUGCCGACUACUUCCUGACAGAGGAGAAGAUACCGCUGUCGAAGGAGAAGUGUGACGCGAAGAAGGUUCCUCAGCAGCGACCUCUAGUGUCUGACGAGAGGGUUCUCCGUGUGCUGCACAGCUGGCAGCCUGAGGACGGCUGCGUGGGUCGAAUAUGCCUCAAAGCCAAGGAGGAGAAUUUGAAUGAGAAGAAGGCGGUGAUGGAAAGAUUCGAGGAAGUAAACAGCGGAGCAGAAGAUGACGUGUUCUUUGUUCAGGUUCAUGAUGUUUCUCCAGAGCAGCCUCGCACGGUUAUUAAAGCUCCACGCUACAGCACUGCGCAGGACAUCAUUCAGCAGGCGCUGAGCAAAGCCAAGUACUCCGUCAGCAUCCUGAACAACCCCAACCCCAGCGAUUAUGUGCUGAUGGAGGAGGUGGGACGAGAAGCUCCAGGGAAGAAGGUGUCUUCAGCCAAACCCAGUCAGCGUGUGCUGCCUGACCAUGAGUGUGUGUUCCAGGCUCAGAGCAAGUGGAAAGGCCCGGGAAAGUUCAUCCUCAGGCUCAAGGAGCAGAUUGGACGAGAGGACAAGAGGAAGUGUGUGUCGUUUGCCAGCGAGCUCUGGAAGCUGACGGGCCGCAGUCGCAGCGUGACCAUGAACGGGCCCAGCUCGAGCGAGGCAGCACACAGUAAGGAGGAGCGAGGCGCUCUGCCUCCACCGGACGCCUCGGACUGAACGCACGCCUGCCCGUGUGUGUGUGUUUGUGUGUGCAGUGCAUGGAGUCCUGGCCAGGCUCUGCAUUGGAGCUGGGACUGAAGGCCUGGGUGGCAGAGGCAUGUUUGGGAUUUGCCCCUCUGGCUCCGCCCACCCCCUCUGCCUGGUCCUUCCCCCUGCUGUGGAACUGGAAGCUGCACAAAUGAGCAUGGAGCUGUGGCGCUUCUGACCUUUUAAUCAACACGAUGAGCUCUGAUCCACCGAGUGAAGAGCAUCAUGGGAUAGCUAGCGGUGCCAUGACGCACCUCAAGCCUGGAGCUAACGGAUAACAGCGUGAGGAGAAGGUGGAGUGUGUGAGACGCGGCCAGCAGCGGGGUCUACACUGGUUCUGGGAUAUGUGACCAUUAAAUAAAAGCUCGCUUCCUUCAGGUCAAAUUCCUCCUCCGGCUUUAGCGUUUUCUUGGCUGCUGUAACGGCUGACGUGAACACGGCGCUUCUGCAGUACUGUCCUCGACCAGCGCGCCUUUCCCUACUGCAUGACGGUCAUUUGCACAUUUUCAUCACAAUGUAUUUAAUUCAAAGCAUUUUGUAUUUAUUAUUAUUUUUAUUUUUGAACAGACUUCCUGUAGAUGAGCAGAAACCUGGCGUACUCGAGCGCGCUUGGCUCUUGUAAAUGAUGUCCAGACUCGAAUUUAUUUAUUGUUGAAGUAGCUGCUCUGGUUUCGAAAGUAAACGCACCCUCGUUUGGCACAGCAUUUUAUUUCAAUGACCAACGGCAAGGCACUACAUCUGUCCACUUCAUUCUUUGUAGUUUUUUUGCCCGAGAUAAUGUACUCAUGGUGUCAGAAAUCUUAAACUUGACAUUUCAUUUUCCAUCAGCGGUUAAGUAGACACAUCUUACUGUAAAUGAUUUUAUUCUAAUCGGAGUAAUUAAGACUCUGCGUGUAUUUGCUUGUGUGGAGGAAAGCGCUACCUUGCCCUCACCUUAUUUCUCUGUACGUUUUGCACGUUGCACAAUCGUGUCUUUUGCACUUCUGUCGCUCUCCACACGGUUUCAUUCAUUUCUCAUUAUGAAAUAUCUCUGACUACCUCUGCUAACUCGUGGAGCCUUGACGUGCUUUUCUUUUCUGUUCUCUAGUCCAGGGAUGUCCAGUCUUAUCCAGAAAGAUCCUGUGUGUGUGUGUGCGCAGGUUUCAAGCAGGAGCCCCACCUUAUUCCACCGGUUUAAACAGUUGCUUUGGCUUCUGCAUGGUAGGAAUGAAAACUUGCACCCACACAGGCCCUUUCUGGACAUCCCUGCUCUGGUCAGACCGUGUCCUUUAUUAACUAAAAUGGACUUCUUCUGCAUGAAAGUUGGAAACUUUUGCCCAUUUCCCCCCCUUCUGUCUUUUUCUUUCUUUCUUUCUUUCUUUCUUUCUUUCUUUUUCCUCGGUGUUGUGUUUAUUUAUUUCAGAAGCAAGGCGCAGGUCAGCCCUGUGUUUCUUCUCUUUGUACAGAUGAUGAAUAUAUGAUAGAACUAUUAAAGCCACAUGUCUAAUUUAUUGCUGAGGGUAGAAAUAAUGCCCCGCUAGCUCGUACUGUAUAAGUGUAUGUGGUUUAUACUUUUGUAAUUUAAAGUAUUCCGUGCUGGUAUUUGGAGACACAUAUAUAUAUGUAUGUAUGUAUGUAUGUAUGUAUACACACAUCUGUGUACUUUUUUCUGACUGUAAAGGCUUCACAUGUAGUGCAGCUUCAUUACUAUUUACUUUCAUUUCAUCAGUGGAUCAGUUAAAGUGAUGUCUUUGUAAUAGAUUUUAUUGUUCAGCACUUUCUUUCUUUCUUUCUUUGUAUUAAUCUUGUGACUGUAUGACUGUUGUGGAGCAAAUAACAGUUGUUGUACAAUAAAUUAAAAAAAUAAUAAUGCUAUAAAUCCAUGGAAACUGGAAUCAAUUCAAUUGUGUGAAAUUGAUUCAUAAAUCAUUUUCCAGGUUCGGAUUCAACUGGAUAAUCACCCCCCCCCCCCCCCAACUGUUCUCACC